rnacentral:rRNA from 1 species
UUGAGCGGAGAUAUAUGGAGCUUGCUUUAUAUAACUUAGCAGCGAACGGGUGAGUAACACGUAGAUAAUCUAUCCUAUACUGGGGGAUAGCCCGAUGAAAGUUGGAUUAAUACCGCAUAUAGCUAUAUAGUUGCAUGAUUAUGUAGUGAAAGAUUUAUUGGUAUAGGAGGAGUCUGCGGCACAUUAGCUAGUAGGUGAGGUAAAGGCUUACCUAGGCGACGAUGUGUAGCCGGUCUGAGAGGAUGAACAGCCACAAUGGAACUGAGACACGGUCCAUACUCCUACGGGAGGCAGCAGUGGGGAAUAUUGCACAAUGGGGGAAACCCUGAUGCAGCAACGCCGCGUGAGUGAAGAAGGUUUUCGGAUUGUAAAGCUCUGUUAGCAGGGAAGAGGAAGGACGGUACCUGCAGAGGAAGCCACGGCUAACUACGUGCCAGCAGCCGCGGUAAUACGUAGGUGGCAAGCGUUGUUCGGAAUAACUGGGCGUAAAGGAUGCGUAGGCGGUUAAACAAGUUAUAUGUUAGAUAUAUAGGCUUAACCUGUAGAAAGCAUAUAAAACUGUUUAACUAGAGUGCAGGAGAGGUAAGUGGAAUUCCUAGUGUAGCGGUGAAAUGCGUAGAGAUUAGGAAGAACACCAGUGGCGAAGGCGACUUACUGGACUGUAACUGACGCUGAGGCAUGAGAGCAUGGGGAGCAAACAGGAUUAGAUACCCUGGUAGUCCAUGCUGUAAACGAUGGGUACUAGGUGUGGGUUGUGAAUAACAAUUCGUGCCGUCGCAAACGCAA